CUGCCCAGCCCCCCAUCCCACCUCCAGUACCUGGAGAGCUCCUAUCUUUCCUCUCUCUCCUCAGCACCAGAAAAACUGUUUCUUCCUCCCUCUGGGGGUUUGGGGAGAGCCUGGGGGUCACGACCCUGCCUGCCCCCGUAAACCCAGGACCCUUUGUCUUUGUGGUUGCUCCCCUCUCCGCCACCUAGGCCUCCCAGCGCCUUGUGGGAUCAGAGGCGGGAGGGGGAUUAGGUUCUGCAAAUGGCUCCCCCCUCCCGCCAUCCCUGUCUUAGUCAUCUCUGCCCUCUGCCGCCUCUCCCUCCAUCACGAUCCCUCUGGCCAGGCCAAGGGGGAGGGCGACACUGAGAGGCGCCCCCCACCCAGGGGCCGUGGCGAAGCAAGGGGCCGGCUGCUCAGAAAAGGAUAAGAAGUGGUUUCUCCUCCCCUCUUCCUUUCCUCAUCCUGCAGCCCGCGCCUCCCCCCUCCGCCGCGCUGCGCACGGAUGGCGGCGGGAGCCGCAGAGGUACCUGCUAGAAGCCAGGCCCUGUCCUAGGCACUGAAGAUUGAGCGACGAAUAAGACAGCCAAGGCCUCUGCCCUCAUAGAUCUUGCAUCAAGCUGAAAUGGGAUCAUACUAAGUAUCCCAUACUGCUGCUGUAUCACAUAGAGUUGGUUGAAAAGAAGGAUCUCAGGGCCAGAUGCGGUGGCCCACGCCUGUAAUCCCAGCUCUUUGGGAGGCCAAGACGGGUGGAUCACUUGAGGCCAGGAGUUCGAGACCAGACUGUCCAACAUGGCAAAACUCCGUCUCUACUGAAUACACAAAAAUUAGAUGGGCAUGGUAGCCCUGGCCUGUAAUCCCAGGUAUGGAUCAGUGGCUACUUUGUGCCAGAUCUCAGCAAGACAACAGGGGGAUGAAGAGGUUAAUAAGAUACAGGGAUCAUCCUGCUGGAAUGGGAGUCACAGGGGAGGGGUUAAGGGGACCAGGUGCAUGGAACAAGGGCACCUGGCACAGCCUGGGGCAGGGUCACUGCUGAGGAAACAGCUGGGUCAGACUGGGCCUUCUCUACAUGUUGCAGGCUGGGCACUAUUAUUUCCUAUGGGCUUUGGGGCUCUGGCAGUCCAGGCGUCUGUGCCUGCACCACCUCAUCUCCUGUUGAAGGGCUCCCCGUGAGCCUGGAACAGGGCAGGUGCCCAUGUGUGCUAAUCAUGCCAUGGUUAGGUCUGAAGCCAGACUGCCUGGUGCUCAAAUCCCACCUCUGUCACUUUCUAACCUGAUGACCUUGGGCAAGUCAUUUUACCUUCCAAAGAUUCAGUUUCUUCAUCUGUAAAAGGAGGAUUAUAAUAACCCCUAACUCAUAGGAUUGUGUGAAGGUUCAGUAAUGUAAUAACAACUUAGGUAAAUCAUCCAACAAUGCCUGGAACUGUGAAUAAUGAGAGCUACAAAUAGUGUCAUUAUAACCAUCAUCACCAUUGCACUGUACAAAGAAACUUCUUUGGUGUUGUGAAGGUAGCAGAGGGUGUGGCUGGAUGCGGUAAGGAAGGAAACAGAGUCUGUUAUCCACAAGUCAGUCCUGUCUGGCAGAGAUGGCCAAACUAGAGCCCUAAGUCAGGACCUACCCUGGGGUCCCCUGGAAGGUAGAGGCAGCAACAAGCUCGUGCCCAUCUGGCUAUUCCCUGCCUCUGUCCUCUGCCUUUCACAUUCCAUUUAUUUUUAGGAAAAGGCACAGGUGGGCGACAGCCACUGGGGAGGCCACGUGAUAAGCAUAUGGUCUUAUAUAUUUCUCUGCCUCUUGUCUGACUUGGAGCUGUUGCCGAAUACAGCCUGUUCCCAGGGAUUCUGAGCUGGGGCAUCUGGUGGUGGGGGGGGCCCACCUUAUGACCUAUGCUAGGUGCCUCACUGGAACGUGCCUCUGUAGGGUGAUGGACACAGAUAUCAAAGGCACGAAGGGCUACUAUGAUGAACACUAACCCGAGGAAAGAGGGAGGAAAUUGCAUCCUGAAGCAAUCCAUUCAUUCACUCAUCAUUCACUAAUUUAAUCAGCCUUCACCACACAGACCUGUGAUGUGCAGGGUUCUGAGCUGGGUCCCAAGGACAUGAGGACAACUUGGCAUGUGCUUUCUACCAUCAUGGGCACACAACAUUGCUGAGGACAGAAAUAGUGCAAGGUGGGGAGGUGGUAGGUUACAAGAUAAAGAAGCUAUAGUCAAUAGCCAAUUAGAAAGAGUACUGGGAAAAUAGCAAUAACAACUACUAUAGAAAUCAUUCAGGUACUAGGUGAAGAGGCCUGUGAAACCAUAACUUAAUGCAAGGCUUGAAUAAACAGAGACGUUUACGGCCGGGCGCAGUGGCUCACGCCUGUAAUCUCAGCACUUUGAAAGCCUGAGGCGGGGGGAUCACGAGGUCAAGAGAUCGAGACCAUCCUGGCUAACAUGGUGAAACCACA